rnacentral:rRNA from 1 species
AGUGAACGCUGGCGGUAGGCCUAACACAUGCAAGUCGAACGGCAGCACAGUAAGAGCUUGCUCUUACGGGUGGCGAGUGGCGGACGGGUGAGGAAUACAUCGGAAUCUACUUUUUCGUGGGGGAUAACGUAGGGAAACUUACGCUAAUACCGCAUACGACCUACGGGUGAAAGCAGGGGAUCUUCGGACCUUGCGCGAUUGAAUGAGCCGAUGUCGGAUUAGCUAGUUGGCGGGGUAAAGGCCCAGCAAGGCGACGAUCCGUAGCUGGUCCGAGAGGAUGAUCAGCCACACUGGAACUGAGACACGGUCCAGACUCCUACGGGAGGCAGCAGUGGGGAAUAUUGGACAAUGGGCGCAAGCCUGAUCCAGCCAUACCGCGUGGGUGAAGAAGGCCUUCGGGUUGUAAAGCCCUUUUGUUGGGAAAGAAAAGCAGCAGGUUAAUACCCCGCUGUUCUGACGGUACCCAAAGAAUAAGCACCGGCUAACUUCGUG